CCUGCAUGAAGUCGGAAUUGCUAGUAAUCGCGGAUCAGCAUGCCGCGGUGAAUACGUUCCCGGGCCUUGUACACACCGCCCGUCACACCAUGAGAGCCGGUAACACCCGAAGUCAAUAGCCUAACCGCAAGGAGGGCAUUGCCGAAGGUGGGAUUGGUAAUUGGGGUGAAGUCGUAACAAGGUACC
rnacentral:rRNA from 1 species